rnacentral:rRNA from 1 species
GACGAACGCUGGCGGCGUGACUAAUACAUGCAAGUAGAACGCAGUUGCGAACGGGUGAGUAACGCGUAGGUAACUGCCUCAUAGCGGGGGAUAAAUAUUGGAAACGAUAGCUAAUACCGCACACUGUGAGAUGGACCUGCGUUGUAUUAGUUAGUUGGUGAGGGAAAGGCUCACCAAGGCGACGAUUCAUAGCCGGCCUGAGAAGGAGCUGGCCCACACGGGACUUGUAACAUGGCCAAGAUCCUUCGGGAGGCAGCAGUGGGGAAUCUUCGGACAUGGACCGAAGUCUGACCGAACAACGCCGCGGGAGUUAAGAAUGUUUUCGGAGCGUAAAGCUCUGUUGUGAGAGAAGCGGUACCUAACCAGAAAGGGACGGCUAACUACGUGCCAGCAGCCGCGGUAAUUC